AGGAGUAACCGAGAAGGGAAGCUAAACUGUCACUGCUCAGUCAUGGCACCUCUUUAUAGAAGGCCCCUGACCAGUCUACAUGAUAUUAUUGAGACCUGCCUCCAAUUUUAACACAGUGGCCUAAAGAAUGUAGGCCCCACAGUGAGAUUCCUGCCAGCCUAGUCUGAUGCUACAGGAUGCCCCAGAAGGGUGAAGAUUGGUCUGACAUGCAGAUGAUUUAUUGUACCUGCCCUGAUGAGUUGCUCUUUACUAGAAACAAGCUGAAGAACUACAUGUAAAACCUGAGACAGGAUCUGUCCUCAGGCAGAAGAGACUGGAUGGACAGUCUUUGUACCUGUUCAUCACCAAAUACUGAGCUCCUUUUUGACUCACUUGUCUCAGUAAGUCACUUUGUUGCUGGCUGAACAAUAUUAUCAGUAUAAACACAAAAGAAAUGCUUGUUGUCCAUCUAUACACUGUUUAUUUAUGGAAGCAAACGCUUUUAGAAAGGAAUGGGUGAGGUGAGGACCUGUGACAGUCAUCUCAGUCUGACAUCCUGAGGACCAGCCAAUCCUUUAUGCCAGACUGUAUGACCUGAAGCCUACAGACAGCGUGGCCUCCGAAUUGUUCCUGUCCUCGAUCGUGGAGGCCUUAGGUGACAGCAAGCGGGAGAGACUGGGUUGGCUGUUAUCUCUGGAUGGGCUGACCAAAGCCUUCCAGUCCUUAGAGGAGAUUAAAACCGGCUGAGUUGUAUUCAGUUCUGCGGGACAUGAUUGGCCAGGAACUGCUGGAGGUGAUCAACAGUAUUGCUCAUUUUGCAUUUUGUUAAUGUGAAUUCACUGUUACG